GGCGGAUGUAGCCAAGUGGAUCAAGGCAGUGAGAUUGUGAAUCCACCAUGCG
rnacentral:tRNA from 1 species